CAAGCAAAACACAAGUGCAAGAGCUCGAAACUAUUAUUCAAACAUCUUACCGGACAUCUAAUGGAAAACACAUCUUGAAUGGGAGACUCGUGUGCCUAACAUUCUGUGAGUGGGAGACUCAUUUGCUAGGGCUGAUUGGUAAGUUUGACUGUUUGAUAUUCAUAUAAUAGCUUCAUUAAAUUGAUAUGAUCAGAAGUGAUUUCUUUUCUUAUCAAUUACACUCAAUAAGAGGGAUUCUAUUGAGUGAUUUCACGUAUCUUCAUUGUAAAAUGAAUUUUUAUAGUGAACAUACACUGCAAUUAAUAAAUAUUGCAGCAUAAAAUCAUUCAUUGUGCGUACUUUUAUUGUAUGUUGCUUUUCUAUUUUUCAUAGGAUAAUGUUGGGUUGAUUGUUUUAUCAUUCUAUUCAAUAUUUCUGUGUUUGCGAAAGCAACAGAACUUUCAAAUUUAGUGAAAUUUUUUUAUUUUAAAUUUUAUUCAUAAUUAAAUUAAAAAAAUAAAAUAGAAAAUCUAUUUGAAGCCCUGCUCCGGGUGGAGUGGCUCUAAGUGCAUCUCCAACCGUGAGCCCUUCCCCAUAAUGGGGUUGGACUCUCUACCUCUAGCUCUCUAAUUUUAUCUUUUAUUAUUUUUUUUAAAUAUAUUUUUAAAUUAAAUUAAACUCGAGCAUGAAUGCUUUUAAAUCUAAAAACAUAUUGAGUUUCGUUGCAUUUCAUUUCAAUUUGCAUCCCUUUUUUUAUUGGAGAUACAGACUCACACACAUAAUAUAAUUCUUCUAAAUGAUUUAAAUUUCUAACAUAUUAAUUAAAAGAAAAAUAAUUUAUUAAUUGCGUUGCGCUUGAUUUUCUUUUUCCUUUUAUUUUUGAGGGAGAAUUUAUUUGCAAUAAAUUUUAGAUUUGGGUGGUAACCGCCAAACGUAGGACCGUUACACAUACAUUCACAUGUAGUCCCCACCCCCACCUAAUACAGCUUCAUGUAUCUUCAUUUCCCGUAAAAGCAGAAAAUUGAAAAUAUCCAAUUAUCUUCAAGUUGAUCUCCUGUGCAUUCAAAUGUAUAGAAAAAACGAGUCGGGUUAAGGUUGGAGUGCGGGUCGGGCUAAGCGGACUAGGCGCAGGCUAGGCGGGCUGAGCGCGGUCUUAAAAAGUAAUUAUUNGUUGGUCGGAGAAGAUGAGAUGUGAUUUUUUUUAAUGAACGGUAUGCAGAUUAGCCCCCGAACUCCAAAAAGGGAAAAAGUGCAGAUUAGCCCCUGAACUCCAAAAAAAACGGUGCAGAUCGCCCCCUCUGACUAACGGCCCAUAACGGUGUUAAGUCAGAGGGGGCGAUCUGCACCAUUUUUUAGAGUUCGGGGGCCAAUUUGCACACACAGUUAGUAAGGGGACUGAAACGCUCUAAGGGCCUCCACUUGAGGGGCCUAUCUGCACCUUAACCAAAAAAAAAAUUCAAAAAUUACGGCAAAUAAAAUGGAACCGAAGCAUAUUCCUUACAUAUCAUGACAACCAGAAAAGUCAACUGAAAGGGCACAUCAAAGAUUAUGACAUACCCAAUUGAUCGAUUAAAUCAAUCUAUUAUACUUUGGCAAUGGUCGUUUAUUUUUAUUUUUAUUUUCUCAGAAAAUGGCAUAGGGUCAUUCUAGUUUAGUAAACUAAAUUUGGCAAUUAAAAAAAUGUAGAAUAAAAUAAACUUAAUAAAGCUCAUCCUAAUUUUCGACAAAAUAAUUCAAAAUAUGUGUCUAAGAUCAUCUUCAACAAACAGUUCAUUCGAACAUCCACAGUGGAGCUCAAUCGAGGGGUUCGAGCCUCACCUUGGCAAGCUUCGCCUUGCUGCCGAGUCCACAGGCUCGAUAGGUGGCUCUAUAGAAUGAGCCCGACUCGUUAGCAUUGAUAAAAGGUGCGUGCUUGUAUAAUGCACGCAUUAUAUUUAAAAAGUAAAAAAUCGAAAUCGCAGCACAUUUACGCGUCGCCGCUGGUGGAUGAGGAGGCAAUCGAAAGAGUAGGGGAUGCAAUUGAAAAUGGGGAAGAAGGGAGAUUCACAAGCUUGAAUUUAUGAAUUUUAUGUAAAUUAGGGACAUAUUAGUAGAGGUUUUUGUUGGAAUGUGAAGAGGAAGAAGGAAAUUUAGGGAAACAGAUUAGUAGAGGCUUUUGCAAGAUUCAAUCCGGUAAUUUAUGCUUAAUCUCCAUUUUUUUUUCUAGUUCACACACCCCAUUUAUGUUUUCUGUUUAAAAUUUUAUUUAAUGUAUGCUCAAAAUAAACAACACUAAAAAAGUGAAAAAGACGUAAAUAUAGCUUUUAAAUUUUGAGACUUUGUAUGUUGCUUAGUGAAUUGUGGAUAACUUGUAGUUUGGAUCUUUACUAUGGAAAUAUAUGCGUAUUUAUAUGCUAAAAACAUUAAGAAUCCCAAUAAGAAUAAAACUUUGCAUGUAUUUUAACAGGACUAAAACUCUUCAAACAUAUCCGCAUAUUUGAACCGAAUCUCUCUUUUAUUAUAUGUGUGCUUUCUUUAAGAUAACGCCAAAUCCCGGGUGAUCAGGCAUCCGCCCUUCUUCUCAUUGCUCCAGACUCAGAGCUGUAGACAACAUAAAUUUGUCCUCAUCAUUGUAAUUUUAAAAUUUAAAUUUAAUGAAAUUUUUAAUUUUAAAUUUGAUUGAUAAUUCAAUUUUUAAAAAAUAGGAUGAAAAUCUAUUUAAAGCCCCUGCUUCGAGAGGGAUGGCUCUAAGAGUAUCUCCAACCGUGAACCCUAGGCAACUUAAAUUUGUCCUCAUCAUCUGAAUCCCAUCUGAUCAUUAAAUACAAAAAAUGAGAUUUCAGUUUUAGAAAUCCAACCUACUAAAAUUAACAAAAAUCUCAAGACAUUUAUAAGAAAUACUCCUUUCGUCCCGCCGAGUUUGAGGCGUUUCUUUUGGAUACGAGAAUUAAGAAAUUGUUUAUUAGUGGUUUAAGUGUGUGGUAUAAAGGUAAUAAGAUGUGCAAUUAGUUUUAUAAAUUAGUGCUUUAAAUUGCCUAUUUUUUGUCAGAAAAAGAAAUGACUCAAACUCAACGGGACAGCUCGAAAAAGAAUACGAUUCAAGCUCGAUGGGAUGGAGGGAGUACCAGUUUAAUUUCAAGCAGUAAAACGUACCUGAAAGAUAGCGACUGCAAAAUUAAUCACCUUCUCUCUCCCCAUCGCUCCCUUUCCUCCCUCUCUCUCCAAAAUUAAUCACCUUCUUCGUCGGCCGAAGAAGGGAGGGCGGCAUCGAUUCUGGCUGCGAGGAGAAGAGAGGCCGAGAGGUGAGGGAGUGACACUGUGAAGAUUAGAGAGUGAGAGAAGGAGAGUGAUGGAGAGAAAAGAGAAGGGGAGAAAUUGGUUGGAGAUGGGCGUGGGUCGGCGGGUCGGGGCGCGGGUCAAUGGGCGGAUCGAUCCGUCUAAAUAUAUGCAUUUGGUCUGAUACACGAAUUUGUAAUUAUCUCCACUUUUCUCUAAUCAGAUUUCGACUGAAUAUUCACGUGAGAAGUACCUAUCGUCAACACCAACCACUACAAAAAGAAAGACUUCCAUAGAUUUGAUUGAGACAUAAUUUAAAGAUAUACUCACGUAUCUCCAAUCUAAGAGCACCCGCAUCGCGGGUGCUCGAGUGAGUACUCGAACUCACUCGAGGAGAGGAGUGGCUUCGAGGAGUGCAAUGCGGGGGGAGGUCCUCGAGGAGUACCCGAGUUAUCGGGUAUCCUCGAGUGUAUUUUCUUUUUUUUUUUUCUUUUUUUUUUAAUUUUCUUCUUCUCUUUAAAAAUUUCUCUCUUCUCUUUAAAAACUAAAAAAAUCAAGUAGGCUAUCAAGGAACCCCAAUGCAGCACUACCUAUUCAAUAACACAACCACUAUCAAAUAGGCUAUCAAGUAGGCUAUCAAGGAACCCCCAAUGCGGAUGCUCUAAGACUCUUGUAUUGCAAGUAAGAGAGAGGUUCAUAUAAGAUUCAUAAUCAACUCAUCACACAAAAAGCUUCAGCGUCGCUGCCACCUUUUGUCUUCUUCUGAUAACCGCCGCUGAAAUUCCAAUCAUGGAGCAAGACAUAGUGAAGAAAUCAUUCAAGGAUUUGGGAGUAAACGAUCAACUAAUAGAGGCAUGCGACAAUCUCGGUUGGGAAACCCCUACAAAAAUACAGAUUGAGGCCAUACCUCUCGCUUUACAAGGGAAAGAUAUAAUCGGCCUCGCCCAAACCGGAUCGGGAAAAACCGCCGCCUUCGCGAUUCCGAUCAUACAAUCGCUCCUCGAAGCUCCGCAGGCGUUUUUUGCCUGCGUGCUCGCCCCAACGCGCGAGCUCGCCAUUCAAAUUUAAAAGCAGUUCCAAGCCUUGGGUGCCGGACUUCACCUCAGAUGCGCUGUGGUGAGAUAGUUCAACAGAUUUAUAUCUUAUUUGUUACUUCUAGGAAUAUUCAGUGCUUCAUUUGUUAAAUUGAGUUGGUUUGGGAUUUUUUUCCUUGCAGCUUGUGGGAGGCGAGGACCCAGUCCAGCAGAGCAUAGCUCUCGGAAAGCGGCCGCACAUUGUUGUGAGUUGUGUUGCUGCAGAUUGAAUUUCCUUAUGCUUUUAUUCAUUUUGUGGAAUGUUUUUGGAAUUAAUGACUAGUUCUGGAUUGGUAGAGCCUGUAUUGAUCACAAUUUAUUUCAGUUUUCACCUACUUAUAUACCUCUAUGUGCGUAUAAAUGGGGACAUUUUGUUGCGAUUCUGAUUCGUAUUUCGUCUUAUAUCUUGUAGGCGGCUACGCCUGGACGUCUAUAUUAUCAUCUUUCUGAGACCAAGGGGUUCAAUUUAAAUGCACUGAAAUAUUUGGUAUGAAUUUCUUUGAUGCUGGUUUGAGGUUGAAAAUGCUUGUGGUUACUCUGUGCUUGCAGUCUUUGAACUUUACUAUAUAUUGAACAGGGCACUUAUAACUCACAUGGUAUAGAUAGAAGUAAUUGAAAUUUGUAGCAGUACCAAAUUACCAAUCAUUAGGACUAGCAGAUAUUAUCCUGAAAUAUUUUCAGAUAUUAGGACUAGCAGAAGAACAUAGCUUCCUUGUGCAGCUUUUGAUGCUGCUGAGAUACUUAAAACAGAUGUAAUAUGCGCUUGACGAAACCCUGACUAUGCUGCUGUUACUGUAAUCUAGCUUUCUGGUUAUGGAUGUUUGUAUCGUUUGCUGUUGAUAAGGUCCUGAAGUUUUACCUUAUCACGAACUAUACAGUAUACAUACUGCAAAGAGAUUAAGGUCUACUCUCAAAAAUUUCUCAGGUACUAGAUGAAGCAGAUAGAUUGCUCAAUCAGGAUUUUGAGAAAUCACUUGAUCAAAUAUUGGAAUGUAUUACUAAAGACAGGAGGACGUUUUUGUUUUCUGCUACAAUGACCAAUAAGGUACUUGAAUGAGGCUUUUAUUUACUGCGAGUUUAGUAAUUAUUAUGCUAUCAAUUAAAUGUGAUACAACAGUUGUAUUGGAAGUAAGUGCAAUUGUGUGAUGGAUUGUUCCCUCACAUUUUCAGGUGCAAAAGCUACAAAGAGCUUGUUUGAAAAAUCCUGUAAAGGUAUUGCAGUGCUUUUGUUUCUAUUUCAGUUUUUAAUAAAACGUUAUUUUAAUCUCUGUAGUCAUUUUCUGUUUAAUUGCAGAUUGAAGCUGCAUCCAAAUAUUCAACUGUUGAUACAUUGAAGCAACUUUAUACCUUAGGUCCAUACAAGUUCCAGGUNAAAUAAUAAUUUAAGUAAUCAUUAUCUUGAGGAAAAGUAACUAUUGAUAUGAUGAAAUAAUCAAAUAAUAAUUCAAAUAAUCAUUGUCUUGAGGAAAAGUAACUAUUGAUAUGAUGAAAUGUAAUGUUUCUAAAUUAUUACAUUUGUUCACAAUAAUUAUUACUUUUAUUAAUGAGAACGUGUACUUUAUUUCUGGUAUCCCAGACCCGCGCCCAAAACCCACCCGACCCGUCAAACCCGCGCUCUGACCCGACCCGACCCGUCUCAUGGUAUGAGGUUGACCUCACCCAAGUUUUUGUGUUUAAAGAUAUACUCACGUAUCUCCAAUCUAAGCUAAUUUUCCAUUUUCUUAUACUAGUUAUAUCCCUCCAAAUGGUGUGCUUAUAUACAAAUUCGGAAGGUCUAAAUUUUGUGCAGCUAGUGAUUAUAAUUUUGGGGUGCCUUGUCAUUUUUUUCAACUAAACGAUACGUUGAAAUAUUUCUUUUUAUUAUUAUUAUAGGGCAUUUUUUUUUUUUACAAAAGAUAUUUAUUAUAGAUUCAAAUAAGUCACCUGGAUGCAAGCGGAACCUCUACACCACACAAAGAUGGAAAAAUAACCGCGCACAUGCGAGCUGCAAACGGAACCACUAUCCCCACAAAAGUGAAAAAAUUAACCGAAACCUCUGCACUACACAAAGAUGGAAAAAUAACUGCACGCGUGCGAGCUGCAAACGGAACCACUAUUCCCACAAAAGUGAAAAAAUUAAUAGAAACCUUUGCACUACACAAAGAUGAAAAAAUAACUGCACGCAGACGAGACCACUACCACACAAAGGUGGGACAAUAACUGCAUGUAGAUGGGACCCCUAGUCACACAAAAGUGGAAAAAUUAACCGAAAAUAACCACACGCAUGCGAGAUUAAACCCAACACAUAUCAUAAAGAAGAGUCUUUGAAUGUCUCAACUUUAUCACUUGAGUUAGGUCUUAUUGACAGACAUUUUUUCCUUAAGUAUACUGUAUAGAUAUUUCUCAAAAAUGAAUAAACAAAGAAGGAAAAUGAACAUAUUAUAAGGGAAAUAUCUUGUUACCCUUUUGGUGGUCUGUAAGGAAGGUUUAAAACUAUGAUAUGGCAGUAGUUACAAAAUCUCAAAGGAUGGAAUUGUCAAUAAAAUUGUGUUAUCGACGUAGAACUCAAAAUGAAGAUGNUCUAAUGAUGAUGAGUAUUUAGAAGCUCGGAUAUCUAAGAAGACAAAAAUUAAUAUAUUUGACUUAAUUUCGAUUGUCAAUUAUGCUCUAAUUUCUUUGAAAGUCAAACUUAUGUGAAACUUACAACAAAAAUAUAAAUUCAUGUAUUUUGGGGCUUAAUUGAAAGUUGAGGUGAAAAUUGCAACGUUUUUCAAAGUUCAUGUAUUUUUUGGCCAUAACCCCUAAAAUAUACUCCCUCUGUCCCAUUAUUAAUGGAACGUACUCCCUUUUUGAGCUGUUACAUGUUACAUGGCCUGUUUCCCUUUUGGGCUAAAAUUAGAAGGUAAUUAAAAGCUUAAUUAACCCUAUUAUAAAAUCCUAAUCCUUAAAUACACAAUCCACAGCUGCACUCAUCUCUCUUUCUCUUUCUCUUUCUCUUUCUCUUUCUCUCUCAGAUUUCUUCCCGCCUCCCUUCCUCCGCCCUAGCACCGCCUCCCUCCAUAGCCUCCACUUCCUCCGCCCUAGCACUGCCUCCCUCCACCUAGCGCCGUUCCACCACCUCCGCUCCACAGCCUCCACUUCCUCUGCCCUAGUGUCGCCUUCCUCCACCGCCUCGCCUCCGCCUCCCUCCACCUAGCGCCGCUCCACAGCCUCCAUUUCUUGCACCCCGCGCCGCCUUCCUCCACCACCUCGCCUUCCUUCACCCGCCUCUGCCUCCCUCCGCCGCUGCCUUCCUUCGCCGCCUUCACCAAUUUGUAGAUUUGUGGAUUUGAUGUUUUGGGGUUUGUGGAUUCAAGGAGAGUUUGUGCAUUUGUGGAUUUGCUAUUUUGGAUUUGUGGAUUCGAGAGGAAGGAGUGGAUUCGGGGAUCUAGGGAUUUAGAAAUAGAUGUUGCCUCGCGCUGCUCCCGGAUCUGCCACCUCGCCGGAAGAUAUCCAGCCUCGUCGCCGGCGACCGCCUCCAGCAACGGACUGAAGAAAGGAAGUUCUGAAAUUACCUCCAACAAGAAUUUUGAUACUCCUACUAAAAUUGUGAUUCUUGAAUAUUGUUGAUUUAAUUUGCAGUUUGUGGAAUACUUGGAAUAAUCAUAUUGCAGUUUGCAGUGAGGGGAAUUUCUGGGGAAAAUCAUACCUAUGAAUUUUGGAGAUUGUUGGUUUAAUCUGCAGUACGUGGAAUACUUGUGAAUAAUUGGAAUAUUUGUUGGUUUAAUUUACAGUUUUUGAUCUCCUUGAACAAUUUAUUAAACUCCUCUAUUCCCCUAAUUUUACUUUUCUUAAUCUCCGUGCCGAAAAGGCACGUGCCAUGAAUAAUGGGACGGAGGGAGUAUUUAUUAGUUGAGUGGAGAAAGGGACCCACCAAUUAAAAAAUUAUAAAGACUUACUAUAAAUGGGUAGAACAUAAAUUGGUGGACGGACCAAAAAGGAAAAUAGGCCAACAAGGUAGGGCUGGCAAAUCGUGCGGGUCGGAUCGCUAUCGGGUCGACCUGAUAUCAACCCGACCUGAUAAGGCCAAACCCGAACCCGACCUGAUAAGGGAAUGCUAGAACCCAACCCGAACCCAACCUGAUACACCUAAACCCGAACCCAACCCGAACCCGACACGAACCCGAUAACAACCCGAUUUGAAUCGGGUUGACACGACCCGAUAGCGACAUGAUCUGAUUACGACCUGAUAACAACUCGAUUUGAAUCGGGUUGACACAACACGAUAGCGACACGAUCUGAUUACGACCUGAUAACAACACAAAUUUGAUUUGAUUCAUUCACAUGAAUAAUAAAUAAUAAAAAAAAUAACAAAUUACAUACACAUAUGCUCAACAAUACAACAUAUCCAAUAAAUCAACAAUUCAACAUAUGCCAAACUAAAAAUCCAAUCAAUAUAAAGCAUUAAACCAAUAAGCUUAACAAAAUAUAAUAAGCUCAAAUGAAAAUAACAAUGCAUCAACCAAGAGUCGUCAAUUCCUAACAUAACUACAACAUAAUCCAAGUGAGCUUAACAAAUCAAAACAUAACUAGACUAAGUGACAGCCUUCAUGCAACAGCAAUAGUGGAGACCGAAGAAGAUUCGGUUUGAGGUUCAUCAUCGCCAUGUAGAAAGUCUUCGGCUAACUUAGAUGCUGGUACUUCGCUUUUGAAGGCUUUGAACGAAAAAAAAUAUGAAUUAAUAUUAAAUAUAUAUCAAUAAUAUAAAAUGUUAACAUUAAUAAUUGAUUGAAAUUUGAAAUGAAUGAAACCCUAAGGCCUAAACUAAGAAAUCGAAAAUUUAAAAAUUAAAAUAAAUAUUUAAUAAAAAUAAUAAUAUCACUAUCGGGUUACCUGAAUCCGACCCGAACCCAACCCAACCCGAAAUUAUCAGGUCCUUAUCAGGUCGACCCGAUAAGGACCCGAACCUUAUCGUGCGUGUUACUAACCCAUUAAUUCCGUGCGGUUUCGUGUCGUGUUUUCGUGUCGUGUCGAAAAUUGCCAGCCCUAACAAGGGAGUAAGUGUUAUUGAAUCACUGAGUUGUGCUUGGUAACUCAGUGAUGGGUGCAAACACUGUAUAUAUUAAGAUCAUCCCCGGACAAUCUAGAAUAAACUCAAUGACAUUUUCCUUUUCAAGGAAGCCUAAUGUUUAGCUGCGGAUAGACUGCGCGGGCCCAACUAUAAGAAAUUUUAGAUAAAGGUCAUCAAACUUUUUGUUGGAUUUCAUAAUAAUAAAAUUAAAAGGCCAAAAAACACAUGUGACACUGACAAAGGGGUGGGUAUUCUUUCAAUUAUUUUAGUGAGCCAAGGUCUCGUGCCUUCAAACUCAACCACUAAAUUUCUAGUUCAUGAACGCAUUUAAACCCAUAAAUUUUCAUUUCUCUUAUCCUUCUAAAAGAUCACACAACAAAAAUCUGAAGGCGUUUGCAAAUCUGCAAGCCUAUACAAAAAUCUGGAUAUUUUAUUUCACUUUAAUAACUGAUACACAAUCUGGCCACUCAGCCAGUUAGGGCGUAAAACCCACUAGAAAAUACAAUAUUCUUCAUAACCGGCGAUCCGCAUUUCCCCUAUGUAUAUAAAAUCGGCGAUUAACCUUUAAUUUGCUCGAAGGAAGUGAGCUCUAGGGAUUUCGGCGCAACCUUGGACCAAACAACGGCGGUAUAGGUUUUGGGGGCGGCUGAGGCACCAUCCUUGGCGGAGAUCACGAGCCUGUA
rnacentral:lncRNA from 1 species